GAGGUCGUACUUCACAGUAUAAUAUCUAUAGUAUGAUUGUUGAGUUUCUUUCGCAAACUCGAAAUGCCUACAGCCGUGAUGAGGAGCCAUACGGUUUCUACUACCUGAGCGGGAAAAGGGCAGAAAGCAUUACCUUCUUUUGGGUGCGCUGCUGCUAUUGAUGAGCGUUCUUCUGGGACUGUGGUGCCAGAUGGAAAGUAGAACACCAUUCUGAGCGGU